AACGAACGCUGGCGGCAGGCCUAACACAUGCAAGUCGAACGCUGUAGCAAUACAGAGUGGCAGACGGGUGAGUAACGCGUGGGAACCUUCCCAAUGGUGCGGAAUAGCCCAGGGAAACUUGGGGUAAUACCGCAUAAGCCCUUAGGGGGAAAGAUUUAUCGCCAUUGGAUGGGCCCGCGUCGGAUUAGCUAGUUGGUGAGGUAAUGGCUCACCAAGGCAACGAUCCGUAGCUGGUUUGAGAGAAUGACCAGCCACACUGGGACUGAGACACAGCCCAGACUCCGACGGGAGGCAGCAGUGGGGAAUCUUGGACAAUGGGCGCAAGCCUGAUCCAGCCAUGCCGCGUGAGUGACGAAGGCCUUAGGGUUGUAAAGCUCUUUUGCCGGGGACGAUAAUGACGGUACCCGGAGAAUAAGUCCCGGCUAACUUCGUGCCAGCCGCCGCCGUAA
rnacentral:rRNA from 1 species